GACAGAGGGUGCAAACGUUGUUCGGAAUUACUGGGCGUAAAGCGUGUGUAGGCGGUCCACUAAGUCGGGUGUGAAAGCCCUGGGCUCAACCCAGGAAGUGCACUCGAAACUGGCGGGCUAGAGUAUCGGAGAGGUUGGUGGAAUUCUCGGUGUAGAGGUGAAAUUCGUAGAUAUGGGGAGGAACACCGGUGGCGAAGGCGACCAUCUGGACGGAUACUGACGCUGAGACGCGAAAGCGUGGGUAGCAAACAGG
rnacentral:rRNA from 1 species